rnacentral:rRNA from 1 species
GGGUUGUGAGGUUAAGCGACUAAGCGUACACGGUGGAUGCCCUGGCAGUCAGAGGCGAUGAAGGACGUGCUAAUCUGCGAAAAGCGUCGGUAAGGUGAUAUGAACCGUUAUAACCGGCGAUGUCCGAAUGGGGAAACCCAGUGCAAUUCGUUGCACUAUCGUUAACUGAAUACAUAGGUUAACGAGGCGAACCGGGGGAACUGAAACAUCUAAGUACCCCGAGGAAAAGAAAUCAACCGAGAUUCCCCCAGUAGCGGCGAGCGAACGGGGAGCAGCCCAGAGUCUGAAUCAGCUUGUGUGUUAGUGGAACGGUCUGGAAAGUCCGACGGUACAGGGUGAUAGUCCCGUACACCAAAAUGCACAGGUUGUGAACUCGAAGAGUAGGGCGGGACACGUGGUAUCCUGUCUGAAUAUGGGGGGACCAUCCUCCAAGGCUAAAUACUCCUGACUGACCGAUAGUGAACCAGUACCGUGAGGGAAAGGCGAAAAGAACCCCGGCGAGGGGAGUGAAAAAGAACCUGAAACCGUGUACGUACAAGCAGUGGGAGCACCUUCGGGUGUGACUGCGUACCUUUUGUAUAAUGGGUCAGCGACUUAUAUUCUGUAGCAAGGUUAACCGUAUAGGGGAGCCGCAGGGAAACCGAGUCUUAACUGGGCGUUAAGUUGCAGGGUAUAGACCCGAAACCCGGUGAUCUAGCCAUGGGCAGGUUGAAGGUUGGGUAACACUAACUGGAGGACCGAACCGACUAAUGUUGAAAAAUUAGCGGAUGACUUGUGGCUGGGGGUGAAAGGCCAAUCAAACCGGGAGAUAGCUGGUUCUCCCCGAAAGCUAUUUAGGUAGCGCCUCGUGAACUCAUCUUCGGGGGUAGAGCACUGUUUCGGCUAGGGGGUCAUCCCGACUUACCAACCCGAUGCAAACUACGAAUACCGAAGAAUGUUAUCACGGGAGACACACGGCGGGUGCUAACGUCCGUCGUGAAGAGGGAAACAACCCAGACCGCCAGCUAAGGUCCCAAAGUCACAGUUAAGUGGGAAACGAUGUGGGAAGGCACAGACAGCCAGGAUGUUGGCUUAGAAGCAGCCAUCAUUUAAAGAAAGCGUAAUAGCUCACUGGUCGAGUCGGCCUGCGCGGAAGAUGUAACGGGGCUAAACUGUGCACCGAAGCUGCGGCAGCGACACUAUGUGUUGUUGGGUAGGGGAGCGUUCUGUAAGCCUGCGAAGGUGGCCUGUGAGGGUUGCUGGAGGUAUCAGAAGUGCGAAUGCUGACAUAAGUAACGAUAAUGCGGGUGAAAAGCCCGCACGCCGGAAGACCAAGGGUUCCUGUCCAACGUUAAUCGGGGCAGGGUGAGUCGACCCCUAAGGCGAGGCCGAAAGGCGUAGUCGAUGGGAAACAGGUUAAUAUUCCUGUACUUGGUGUUACUGCGAAGGGGGGACGGAGAAGGCUAUGUUAGCCGGGCGACGGUUGUCCCGGUUUAAGCAUGUAGGCGGAGGUUCCAGGUAAAUCCGGUACCUUUUAACGCUGAGGUGUGAUGACGAGGCACUACGGUGCUGAAGUAACAAAUGCCCUGCUUCCAGGAAAAGCCUCUAAGCAUCAGGUAACAUUAAAUCGUACCCCAAACCGACACAGGUGGUCAGGUAGAGAAUACCAAGGCGCUUGAGAGAACUCGGGUGAAGGAACUAGGCAAAAUGGUGCCGUAACUUCGGGAGAAGGCACGCUGAUAUGUAGGUGAAGCCCCUGCGGGUGGAGCUGAAAUCAGUCGAAGAUACCAGCUGGCUGCAACUGUUUAUUAAAAACACAGCACUGUGCAAACACGAAAGUGGACGUAUACGGUGUGACGCCUGCCCGGUGCCGGAAGGUUAAUUGAUGGGGUUAUCCGUAAGGAGAAGCUCUUGAUCGAAGCCCCGGUAAACGGCGGCCGUAACUAUAACGGUCCUAAGGUAGCGAAAUUCCUUGUCGGGUAAGUUCCGACCUGCACGAAUGGCGUAAUGAUGGCCAGGCUGUCUCCACCCGAGACUCAGUGAAAUUGAACUCGCUGUGAAGAUGCAGUGUACCCGCGGCAAGACGGAAAGACCCCGUGAACCUUUACUAUAGCUUGACACUGAACAUUGAGCCUUGAUGUGUAGGAUAGGUGGGAGGCUUUGAAGCGUGGACGCCAGUCUGCGUGGAGCCAACCUUGAAAUACCACCCUUUAAUGUUUGAUGUUCUAACGUUGGCCCCUGACCGGGGUUGCGGACAGUGUCUGGUGGGUAGUUUGACUGGGGCGGUCUCCUCCCAAAGAGUAACGGAGGAGCACGAAGGUUAGCUAAUCCUGGUCGGACAUCAGGAGGUUAGUGCAAUGGCAUAAGCUAGCUUGACUGCGAGCGUGACGGCGCGAGCAGGUGCGAAAGCAGGUCAUAGUGAUCCGGUGGUUCUGAAUGGAAGGGCCAUCGCUCAACGGAUAAAAGGUACUCCGGGGAUAACAGGCUGAUACCGCCCAAGAGUUCAUAUCGACGGCGGUGUUUGGCACCUCGAUGUCGGCUCAUCACAUCCUGGGGCUGAAGUAGGUCCCAAGGGUAUGGCUGUUCGCCAUUUAAAGUGGUACGCGAGCUGGGUUUAGAACGUCGUGAGACAGUUCGGUCCCUAUCUGCCGUGGGCGCUGGAGAAUUGAGGGGGGCUGCUCCUAGUACGAGAGGACCGGAGUGGACGCAUCACUGGUGUUCGGGUUGUCAUGCCAAUGGCAUUGCCCGGUAGCUAAAUGCGGAAGAGAUAAGUGCUGAAAGCAUCUAAGCACGAAACUUGCCCCGAGAUGAGUUCUCCCUGAGACUUUAAGUCUCCUGAAGGAACGUUAAAGACGAUGACGUUGAUAGGUCGGGUGUGUAAGCGUAGCGAUACGUUGAGCUAACCGAUACUAAUGAACCGUGAGGCUUAACCUUACAACGCCGAAGGUGUUU